CAAAUGUCUCAAAUAACCCAAAUAUCAAUCCCAGGGCCUACUCGGCCAAUUUUAAAAAUCCGGCACGGCGGCUCCGCCAUGCUCCGGCGACGGUGCCGCUGCUUGCGGCGGUGAUCUACCUUGGGUUGGCUGUUUUCAGCCGUUUUUGACCGAAUUUAGCCAAAUUUGCAUCAGUUCUUGCGAUAAAACACACUUAGGGCCCUCGGUUGGCCGAAAAAAUAUAGAAAAUCGAAACUCACCAGUGGCGGGGCUUUCCGGUGCGACGGCUCCUCUGGCUCACGUUACGGUUGGAUGUUUUGUUCCGUUCAACCUGUAGAGAAGGAAACAUUGAUCACAAUAGUAGAAAAAUCACAUCGAAUAGGAAUCGGGAAGACCCUCAUCGGAGGCAUUUUUUAAAGUACCCCGUGGCGACGCCGCAUGGCUUUACCAGUAUUUUUCGGCCAAUCGAUCGGUCUUUUUGCUCCAAUAUGGUCAUGAGUGUGUUUAAAAUUAAAUUCUGAGCAAAUGGUAAAAUUUUUACUUCGUUUGGCGGUCGAAAAUUGCUCCAAUUCGGCGGCGGGUGGCGGUGGUCAGUUCCCCGACGGUUGGGUUGUCUUCUCCAGGGAGGGGUUCUGCUGGCUAGAGUUAAAGUUUGGGUGUGGAUGGGGUUAUUUAUACCCAUCCGCUUUUGAUCUGGGACGUCCAUCGUUUUUGAUCUGCACCGUCUGAUCGCAAUUAAAUAGGGAGUGAAUCUAGGCCGUUCAUUGCGAUUCAAUUUGG
rnacentral:lncRNA from 1 species